GCGAUAAGAAGCUUGGUUAGUGUUUUGGAGUCAAAUAUGACUAGAUGUCAUGUGUAUGAUUGAGAAUAAGAACUAGAAUGGCAACCGAUUCCCAAUAGCUAAAGUUAUGUUUCCUUGUUAGAAGAUACAAAGCCAAAGACUCAUACGGACUUCGUGUACACCAUCAAAAUUUUGAGAAGCAAUAAGAAGCUUGGUUAGUAUUUUAGAGUGAAA
rnacentral:sRNA from 1 species